UUCAUAAGCCAUAUCACCCUGCAACUCACAACUGGCAACCCACUGAAGCUCAGCAGGUGUGAGCCUGGUCAGUACCUGGAUGGGAGACCUCCAGGGAAAAACUAAGGUUGCUGCUGGAA
ensembl:rRNA 5S_rRNA 5S ribosomal RNA